AUUGAACGCUAGCGGGAUGCCUUACACAUGCAAGUCGAACGGAGUGGCGAACGGGUGAGUAAUGUAUCGGAACGUGCCCAGUAGCGGGGGAUAACUACGCGAAAGCGUAGCUAAUACCGCAUACUAUUGGAGCGGCCGAUAUCGGAUUAGCUAGUUGGUGGGGUGACGGCUCACCAAGGCGACGAUCCGUAGCUGGUUUGAGAGGACGACCAGCCACCAAUAGACUGAUGCAAGGCCCAGACUCCUACGGGAGGCAGCAGUGGUGAAUGUUAGACAAUGGGGGAAACCCUGAUCCAGCCAUCCCGCGUGUGCGAUGAAGGCCUGCGGGUUGUAAAGCACUUGUGGAAGGAAAGCGGUAACUGCAGAGUAAGCGCCGGCUAAAUACGUGCUAGCAGCCGCGGUAAUAC
rnacentral:rRNA from 1 species